UUAAGUCCCGCACGAGCGCAACCCUCGCCUUUAGUUGCCAGCAUUCAGUUGGGCACUCUAGAGGGGACUGCCGGUGUCAAACCGGAGGAAGGUGGGGAUGACGUCAAGUCCUCAUGGCCUUUAUGUCUAGGGCUACACACGUACUACAAUGGCAGGUACAAAGGGCAGCGACACAGCGAUGUGAUGCGAAUCCCGAAAAGCCUGUCUCAGUCCGGAUCGGAGUCUGCAACUCGACUCCGUGAAGUUGGAAUCGCUAGUAAUCGUGGAUCAGCAUGCCACGGUCGAAUACGUUCCCGGGCCUU
rnacentral:rRNA from 1 species